AUCCAGCUGUUGAGUCUUGAAUAGGACGAAACAUGAGUCCUGGAU
rnacentral:hammerhead_ribozyme from 1 species